UAAGGAAUAUUGGUCAAUGGGCGCAAGCCUGAACCAGCCAUCCCGCGUGCAGGAUGAAGGUCCUAUGGAUUGUAAACUGCUUUUAUCAGGGAAGAAACGCCUUCAUUUAUGAGGGUCUGACGGUACCUGAGGAAUAAGCACCGGCUAACUCCGUGCCAGCAGCCGCGGUAAUACGGAGGGUGCGAGCGUUAUCCGGAAUCACUGGGUUUAAAGGGUGCGUAGGCGGGGAAUUAAGUCAGUGGUGAAAGCCUGUCGCUUAACGAUAGAAUUGCCAUUGAUACUGAUUUUCUUGAAUUGGGUUGAGGUUAGCGGAAUGUGACAUGUAGCGGUGAAAUGCAUAGAUAUGUCAUGGAACACCAAUUGCGAAGGCAGCUAGCUGGGCCUUGAUUGACGCUGAGGCACGAAAGCGUGGGUAGCGA
rnacentral:rRNA from 1 species